GCAUCUGCGGUAGAAAGGGCGUAGAAGCAGAAUUGGCUGGGGAUCCCUGGACCGCAGAAGCGGUAAUUGGUCUUGCACCUGCGGAACCGCAGAAGCGGUCAGGAGACCGCAAGUGCGGAAAGUGUUGGAGGCAGUGGGUUGUUUUAAAAAUCUGGAUUUGGCCAUUUUCUCUCAUAUUUUCUUGGCUUGGGCGAUUUUUGGAGAGCUUCAAGAGGGUAUUUUCAUCAUCAACGAUAAGGUAAGCCAACCCCACCUAUAUUGAGUUAAAUAUAUCGAUUUUGUAUGGAUUUUAUCACGUGAAUGGGUAGAAAUUUGGGGUUUUGGUAGAAAAACUUAGAACUUUAUAUUCUUGGAAUUUGACCACGAUUUUGGGUAUGGAAUUGAGAGUAAAUUAUAUAUUUGAGUUCGUGGAGUAAUGGAUAAGCUUAAUCUUCGAAAAAUUUGGAAAUCCGGGCAUGUGGGCCCGAGGGCGUUUUCAUCAACUUUUCGAUCGGGGUUAGGAAUUGUUAUAAAUUGGAUUGUAAUGAAUAAUUGAGUAUAUAUUAAUGGAUUGGUAUCAUUAUUGGCUAGCUUUAAAGCAUUGUGCAUUGAUUCGAGUCUUCGGAAGAGCGUGGAAUGUCGUUUAUGGAUCUUCGGAGCGAGGUGAGUCUCCUUUAUAACCUUGUAAGAGGAAAUUGUCUUGGUUAUGUGCUUCUAUUUGUGGGGGCUAUGUACGCACGAGGUGACAAGAGUCCUUGUGUAGCUACUAUUAUGCUAUUAUCCGGGUAGUCUAGGACCCAAAAGCAUGUUAUACUUGAAUUAAUUGUAAACUUAUUGACAGCUCGAAUUGCUUAAAUCACAUCGAAUCAGUAAAUGAAUUUCAAAAAGGAUUAAACUUCUUUUUCUUAAAUUGUUAAAAGAAAAGUGGCUUUUAUUUGGAUAAAUUCUUGAUUGGCUAUCUGAGCAUGUUUUUCUAUGUGUACCUGCGUCGCAUGUAUGAUUCGCGAGCAGGGUGAUUGUUUAUUUUAUGUUGACCGUGUCGCAUGGAUAGUUCGCGAGCGGGGUAAUAGAUGCAUCUAUGGUUCGUGCCAUUCGACCCUCGGCAGUGCACAUUUUACAUUUCUGUUGGAUCGGGCCGUACGACCUCGUCAUGAUUUGUGCAUGCUUGUAUUGCUUGCCUUGAGAUUAUUUGAGAUUGAUAUUUGCUCUCCCCGACUUGAGAUAAUUGGAACUAUUGGAUUAUGAAUCCGGAGACCUUUAAUAUAAAAAGGAACUUUCACUUGUUCGUGACUUACUUGAAAUUACUAUCAUUCUUAAUAAAUCCAUGAUUAAUUGCUUUAACAAUAUAUCAUUAUUUGGACCACUAGUAAGUGUCGAAGUCGAACAUCUCGUCUCUACUUCUUCGAGAUUAGACGGGAUACUCAUUGGGCACAUGUUGUUUUUGUACUCAUACUACACUUCUGUGCAUUUUUGUUGCACAGGCAUAUGUAUCUCUAGGGUCCUAUCGGGCAUAGAAGCAUGGUUGAUAUGGAGACUUAGGUGAGCUGCAAUUCUUGAGGUGACCCACAGCCAGCAGAGUCUCUUUCAGUUUUCUGUAUUUAUUUUAUGUCCAAAAUUUGUAUUACAGACGGUUGUUGUGUUAUAUUACUUCCUAAAAAUUGCUCAUGCACUUGUGACACCGGGUUCUGGGAUGGUUAUAGGAUUGUUCAAUAUUGGAUUGGUUAAAGACAUUCUCUUAUUUCAACGAAUUUCAUUACUUGCUAUUUAAAUGUAUAAAAAGGAACGAUUUCAAUAAGUUUUAAAAUAAGAAGUUUCUAGUUAUUUGUUGUUGGCUUGCCUGAUAAUGGUGUUCGGCGCCAUCAUGACCCUUAGUGGAUUUUGGGUCGUGACAACAUGGUAUCAGAGCACUAGGUUCCUUUUAAGUCUCACGAGUCAUGAGCAAGUCUAGUAGAGUCUCACGGAUCGAUACGGAGACAUUUGUACUUAUCUUCGGGAGGCUACAGGGCUGUUAGGAGUACUUUCCUUCUUGAUUCCUCAUCGUGCGAUUUGAUUCCUUGAGGCUUAUGCCCUUGUUUCCUUCCUACUCAAUCUUACGCGAUAUGAACCGCUGACUAUAAAUCGAGAAUUGAAGGAUUGUAAUACUACUACAGAUGUGGUGCGGGAUGUUCUCCCGGUAUAGUUAUUUGAGCUAUUAUCGUCGCCUUGUAAAAGGAUAUUCUAUUGUUUCAGCUUAGUAGCGGUACUUCCGAGAGCUUUGAGGCUAGGCACAAGUUUCCAUGAUGCUUAUGAAUGAUUACUCUACAGUAUUGAUAUGAUGGUAGGAUGUUUGCCUACGUGUCGAGGCAGUGAAUGACUUGAAGGGAGGUUUACUCAGUGCAUGAUCUAGAGAUUCGGUAUUUUAUUCCCGGUAGCGGAAAGGCAAUUGGGCUGAGAGUGUUCCAGUUUGGGUUGAUGGGUAACGGGACUUGGCAUUUUUGAGCGUGUUGGAAUGUUCAUCUGCGAUGUAGUGUUGUCAUCCUCAGUGGUAUGUGUUAAGUUCGUCGGUGUUAUGGUCUUCUGCAAUUCGCCUUUGGGGUAAGAUAUUAUGAAAUAAUUUGGGAGAAAUGACUGUUAGCUAUCGCGGGGUGCGGUGGUUCAGAUUGAACCGGUGUUUCUAAUGUUGAUAGCUCAAGAAAGAUGAUCUUCAGAAAAGUUUAAAAUUAGUAGCGAUUGUGGGUUCAAGUGCUACGAAGAUAGAUUUUAUUUAAGGCAACAACUGAGCAGCAAAGGAUGAGGAAAGACAUUUGGGAAGUGUCAGGCGGUGGCUAAUAUUUCUAGAAGGCCAAGUAUAAGAAGCAAAGGUCGAGUAGUCGAUUAAGGGAUGAGUUCCGCCAAAGUGGGAGAGUGGUGGAGUUGUAUAUGGGCAUUGUGGUAGGAUGACUACGCACCUUAAGGAGAGUUAACUUGAAGCAUGGGCCAUUAUGCGAUAGAAGAUUUGAUAUAACGGGAAGGAGCUGCUUGAAAUGAAGAAGAAUACAACAUAACUUUGAAUUGGAAGGAUGUUGUCGCACAUUUAAAUGAUGUCCACGAGGGGUGAAUGGACUUGCGCAGCUAGAGAGUAAGCUCGGACCCAGGGUGGGUUAUUAAUGUCGUAGUGAUUGUACCUCAUGCAGCAGCAUUGGAAGAUGUCGGGAAGUGAUUUCCAUACGUGGUAUAUUCCCUGUGAGCAAGUUAGCGGUCACGUGGUUGGCGAGGCUUCUGCGAAGAAUUCUAUUAGUUAUAUAGCGAAGAGAUCGGACGUGCGAAUGUGGUUGAUGAUUCAGAGUAUAAAAAGGGGGUUUUAUAGAAAGAUUCCGAGAAUUUUGGCGGUUGAUUGCGCAGGGUUAUGUCAAUAAGAGGUUAAGAAUCCUGGAGAAUUUUAGAGUUGUGUAAUAGUGGCUUCGAGCUAAGUGGGAGAGAGUCCCACCACCUAUUAUUGGGUUGCAUGAUUAACUACCUGCGAGGUUUUCAUUUAUUAUCAUGUUGAGGGGUUAUUUCGGCUACGGGAAAAGAACAUAAGUGGUAAUUUGAGCAAAAGUAUUGUUAAAGGUGUUCUAUGGUUGUCCCUGUUGGCUCAUGUUCAUGUUUGGAAAGGAUUCAAGAUUUGUGCUUUGUAUAGAUGCGGGUUCCAAGGGAGGUGAUUCUGCUAGGUGCUUCGUCGAGAGGGUAUUCAUGUGCUAGAAGAUUCAUGGAGUUGAUUAUAUUCGAGGCCAAGUCAGAGCGGGUGGCUCUCAGCAAUGGUCCUAGUGGACUCAAAGGGGUAAAGUGUGGAGCCUAAUGAUUUCAAGCCUAUAGGUACGGUUAAGAUUCAAGCUUUGUAGCAGCUUAUGAGAACAGGCCCAGAAUGUUCUAUGAUGUUUUGACUUGUAGUAUAGUAUUUGGGAGGAAAAUGAGAAAGGACUUCAAAUUCUUAGAAGGAUUAUCAGAAUGGGCAUACCAGUUGAGGAUGCGAAUGUGCGCACAAGGGAGGUAUGAAACGGUUCGUGGGAUUUGAGACAGCAUAGUCUCGUGAUUCAAGGUCACUCGGGAUGAGUGCGUAUGGAGUGUACUAUGUGUUGAAUGGCGCUAUUACUAUUUCAAAGGCCAUCAAGGGUAAAACUGGACGAAGAUAGAUUGGUUAGCCAUAGUUGAAUUGGCAUAUUGGUUGUAGUGAUCAAGUUAUGCAAGUGAUUUGUGACGGUACGCGUGAGGCUUGUCGGCCGCCGUAAUUGAUGUUAUUCAGAAGUAUUCUACUGUUAUGGCCUAUCAUGUGUAGGCGGAUCCCGGAAGGGCUAUGGUGGCUUAGUCCACUAAUUAGAGAAUUGCAUAUUCUACGAUUAUGACAAUUCACCUAUAUGUUGCUAUGGUUCUCCUGAAGUGAGUUAAGUGAAAAAGCUUUAUAUGAUGAAGUGUUAAUUUAUUAGUGGUUAUGGAGUUAUGAUGAAAAUUGUGUUCUAUCGUGUAUUGGCAUGUUAGGGUGUAGUGAGUGGUAUGGAAUUUGAGGUGAGGAUCAAGGUUGCAGUUCGGUGUUGACAAGGAUGUCACGGGCUUGGAUGAGCAGGAAGGGAGUUUCGAUGUUCAAAGUAGGUUGGUAUUGUCCUCAGUGUCACCUGAGGUUGGUGCUUGUGAAGAAGGAUUUGCAUCCUAGUUAAGGAUUCUUGAUCUCGCUUUUCAGCGUUAGUACGGUCGGUAGUUUGGAUGUACAGACCUGUUAUCUGUUACGGAAGGUUGUGGGAGUGUGCCCCACGGGAAGGUUGUAUAAGUGUGGCAUGUAGUCACUUGAUUGAUUGAAGAAGUUAAACCGAUUAUGAAGAUUGCAGUAAUAUCGUUAAAUUGAGAAUUUGAUGCCUGGAGGGCACUCAGUUUAUUAUGUUGUGGACUGUGGGGGAUUACUCCGGUUAUGAUGGUUGUUCUUGUGUGUUAUGAGAAAAAGGGGGUCGUUAUGGACCUUUGAAAGGUUAUUAGCCUAGUUCAGUGUGAUCGAAAUUAGCUUGGGGUCUGUGGAUGGAUUUAAAUGUGAAUAUGGGCUUUAUAUCAGGCCAGAUGUGUUCACCUCAGCAAUGUGCUCCUCAUGGAAGAGUAGUCGGAGUGUUAUUUCGUUGUCAGCUAUUUCAUGUAAUGUUCUAUUGCGCCGUAUGAGUUGUGAGACAGCUUGGUAAAUUUCUUAUGUGUUGAGGUUCCGCGUAGCGAUAAGGUUAUAAGAGUAGGAUGGCUCUCGAGAUUUAGAUCGUAUAUCGCACCUCAGUUGUGCUUGAGUUUUGUAUCUUAUAGCGCUAUAUGUUCCCUCAAGGAUAGUAUUAUGCACUUAGCGUGUUUAUGACUGAUAUUCGGUAUUUUAUUGUAAUGAGCAAUCCAGCUCGGUGUGCAUCUCCUUAGGUGAGUGCUAUGUUAUUUGGAUUGAGUUGCGCGCCGCAAUAGUGUGAUGUUGAGUAUAGUUUUCUAUAUGUUAUUUUUGUAUGCCUUACUUCCUAUUUUCUUAGGAAAGUUCGUAUUAGUGCGUGAGUUGAGUAGUUCCUUCUAGAGUUCGUCUUCCUUUUGUAACGCAUUCGAAUGGGUAGCCUAUGGGUACAUUGCGGCAUAAUAUGAGGUUUUUGAUCAUGUCCGGGUGGCUUACUGCCAGAAUAGUUCGCACUGGGUGAGACGAGAUCAUUGGAUUUAUGAUCAGCGCAAUUUGAUUAUAUGAAAUACAUUAAGAAGUUAAGACCAUUAUUCGGUUCAGAAUGAAGUGAUGGUUCUUGUCAGGAGUAUAGACCCAAUGGAUUAUUGAUUCAGCCAUUGGUUAUGAAUUUCUAUGCCCAUCUUCCAUCGUGUCGGUAUUGUAAGAGUUAGAGUAAGAGCUAUGUAUAUCAUGAGGUGCGUUUUGAGCAUCAGAUUCGUGGAAUUUAGACUAUUGCGCUUAGAGGAUAUAAAGCGGUGCAAGGUAUGAAUUUAGCGAAGGUAUGCAGUCAUGUUCUGGUACAUCGUGUGGUGAUUGAUACGGUGGUUGUACCUUGGAAACAUGCCUGACGGAGAAUUUCGGAUAUUGGAAUUGGGGUCCAAGGCUUAUAUGCUUAAGUGAAAAAGGAUAACUUCAGGAUUGAUAGAGCUAAUUUGCUCAACGGAGUUGUGAUAGCACGGGAAGGUGCAUGAGGUGUUAAACAGUGAUUUCAGACUACUUCAGUGUAGUUCACAACAUGUUUGAGGACGAACGUAUGUUUAAGUGGGAGAGAAUGUAAUGACCCGACCGGUCGUUUUGAGCUCUAACACGUCGUUCAGCAGUCUGAGGCCAUGAGCAGCUUCAUUUCAGGUAUUAUGACUUGUACGCGUGGUCGGAAUUAAAUUUCGAGAAGUUCAGAGAUGAUUUGGAAAGAGAAUUCUCAUUUCGGAAGCUUAAAGUUGAAACAACUAACUUGGAUUGGAUUUUUGAGUAAACGACCUCGGAAUCGGGAUCAGAAGGCUCGAGCAGGUUCGUAUGAUGAUUUCGGACUUGGGCGUAUGCCUAGAUCGGGUUUUGGAUGACCCAGGAGCAUGUUGGCGCCUAUUGUGGAAGUUAGUGUUUUGGAAGAAAUUUUAUAAGUUUGGCUUGAAGUGCAUUUCAAUGUUAUUGAUGUCCGUUUGAAAUUCCGAGCCUGGGAGUAGCUCCGUAUGGUGAUUUUGGAGUUGGGAGCGCGAUCGGAAGUGAAUUCAGAGGUCCGUAGGUCAUUUUGGAGUCAUUUAGCUAAAGAUAGAAAAUUGAAGGUUUUGAGAAGUUUAACUAGAAGUGAACUUUUUGAUAUCGGGGUUGGAAUCCGAUUCUAAAAGUUGGAGUAGGUCCAUAAUGUCAAAUAUGACUUGUGUGCAAAAUUUGAAGUCAAUCGGGUGUGAAUUGAUAGGUUUAAACAUCGAGAGUAUAAGUUUGGAGUUCUAAAGUUCAUAAAGCUUGGAUUGGAGGUCGAUUCGUGGUUUUAGCAUUGUUUGAUAUGAUUUGAGGCCUCGAGCAAAUCCAUAAUGUGUUUUGGGACUGGUUGUUAUUAUUGGUUGGGGUCUCGGGGUCCUCGGAUGGAUCCCGAGUGGUUAACGGAUCGAAUUCGGAGUUUGGAGAAGAGCUGAGGUUGUUGGUUGCUGGUGUAACUGCACCUGCGUGUCUAGGACCGCAGGUGCGGAACCGCAGAAGCGGCCCUAGGGUCCCAAAUGUGAUAGAGACAGAAGAGAGCUGGGACCGCAGAUGCGGUCGUUUGGCCGCAGAUGCGGUAGAGAGAGCGCAGAAGCGGAAUUGGCUGGGGAGCCCCAGAACGCAGAAGCGGUAAUUGGUCUUGCACCUGCGGAACCGCAAGUGCGGAAAGUGCUGGAGGCAGUAGGUUGUUUUAAAAAUCGGGAUUUGGCCAUUUUCUCUCAUAUUUUCUUGGCUUGGGCGAUUUUUGGAGAGCUUCAAGAGGGGAUUUUCAUCAUCAACGAUAAGGUAAGCCAACCCCACCUAUAUUGAGUUAAAU
rnacentral:lncRNA from 1 species